rnacentral:rRNA from 1 species
UGGUGGAGUGAUUUGUCUGGUUAAUUCCGUUAACGAACGAGACCUCGACCUGCUAAAUAGUUCGACGAACCCCUCGGGGUCCGCACGCAACUUCUUAGAGGGACUAUCGGUGUCUAGCCGAUGGAAGUUCGAGGCAAUAACA